rnacentral:piRNA from 1 species
UGCUGGUGUCUGUAGGGUCCUCCCAAGG